ACUGCAGAGGCAAAUUUAUUCUUAUGAGGUGUAGGCAUCAAUCUUAAGAUGCCAUGCUGAAAGCAAUAAUAGCAAUUUAGUCAACAAAAGAAACAAAUAUAUUUAUGCAGUCUUGGUCCCAUUGAAGUCAAUGGCAAAACUUCAAAUUCUAUGAAUACAAAAAACUUCAAGCACAAAUACUGUGAAGUACAGAAAAAUGGGGCCUGAGAAAUAUCUGCACCACCCAGGCACAAAAGGCCAGCUGUCCCAUUCCCCUUUAAGGGCAGUUUCUUGCAUCCACCAGCUCCUGCCAUCAACCUUCCAAUUUGGAAGCUGUGCCUAAGAUCACAGUAGCAUUACAAAUGAUGUGAUGUUUUCCUUCUGUUAAAACUGUUUUUGAACUGCCUGCCUGCACAGCCUGAACCAACCUAGGACAGAAUAAAGGAAAUGCUCCCAAAGGUACCCCCCAGUCUGCAGUGUUGAUGUGAAAUAGGGAUUGAUUCCUUUCAUACACAUCACCAUCACUGCACAUUAUCAUUCGCUGUCCUUUGCUCAUGAGGUAAAGAUGUUUGCAAGCAGCACAGGAUCAGCCCAACUGAAUCCCUGUUCUUUAGCAGUGCUGUAAAUAGCACUUUUGCUGGAGUUUUGUUUGGUUGGUUUAUUUGUAUGUUUUAUUUUUCUUUGUGGCUUGUUAUUUUUAAAUAUCCUAUAUGUGCUUGAUCUCUUCCCCUUUUAAAUAAAUAGCAGUGGCACUUGGGAAGUCAAGAGGAAGAACAAACAAAGUUUGUUAGCACUAAAGCCUUUAUUUUUGUCAUCCUGUCAGCUCUACUACAUGACAGGGGAUAAGGUUUAGAUGAAACAGCAGGACUGAUCCUACAUCAAAAUAAGGAAUGAGCCCUUCUGCUUAAAACUGCUUAUAUGAAUGCAACCAUUGAAUGGUAAGUGGAUCUUUGAAGUUGAAAGCUUAAAAAUAAGAUUUCAGGCAUUUAAAAAUACACGCACACACACAUGAACCUUUCUGAGAAUUUGACACUUUAUUCCUACUGCAUUGUUGGUGACAACUGGAUGGCCAACCAAGCGCUCCAAGCACAAACAUCCAAAACAGUAAAUUCAUAAAUAACUGUGUCAAGCAGUGCAGAAAGGACUUGGGAGUUCUCUUCUCUGCAGACAUCUCUAGUAGUUUAAAAACAAACAAACAAAAACAAACAAACAGAAAUCCAAAAAGACAUCCCCUACCUGCUAUUGAGAAGAAAAAAGAAGGAUACAUAAAGCAGUAAAAAUUUGUUACAAGUAUCUGAGUGAAAUUUUGUAAGAACUUUUUGGCCAUGGGUGCUGAUUACUCAGUGCUGUGACUUUCCUUAGAAGCUUCUUGUUGCAUUUGGAUUGUUUAUAUAUUUAGUGCAAGACAUUUUCUUACAAAACUUCCUUUUUUUGGUUGGCUGAGUCCCUUUUUCAAAGAGUGUAGCAUGGCAGUAAAGCAAUAGAUGUGGUGUUUAUAAUAAGCUCUGCAAUGAGGCAAAUAUAAGUGUUUUGAUCAAAGGCAUGGCUGCAGUGAUAAGAAGCCAGUGUACCCAUAAUAUCCAGUAUAGGGUUUAAUGUCUUUGUAUCAGUUCUUAAUCUCUGAGCACAAAAACAAAGAGGAACAAGGUGAUCAACUCUGUUUUUUAUAUCACAGAAAAGAGGCUGGUUUUAUCUCUAGGAGCUCUGCGAGGUUUAUUGCUGUUACCCCAAAAGCCAGCACUGGUGUCUCUGUUGCCAUAUCUGCUCUGUUAAUAUUCAGUCACACUCAGCCAUGGCCACAGUGCUGCACGAAAGUGGGAAUGGAUUUGGUUUGGAGUUGUGCAAACAGACUUCAGGCAGUGGAUGGAGAACAGAGGGGUAGAAAAGCCAUGUUAUCUUUCAGCCAAAAAUGCUUCAGAUGGCAUAAAGCCAUGCAUACAAAAAAAACCACACCCCAAAAAAGAGAGACACUAGAAGGAACAGAGCCAGGUGAAAGUUGGAUGAAUUGAAAUGAUCAAAAAAAAUUAGAAGAUAUUGUGCCAUUGUUAAAGUUUCCAUUCUCAUCUCUGCUUUUUUUCCUCUGUUGCACUAGACUGGUUACUGACUGACAAUGUGAUUAGGCUUUUGGUCUUUUGAUUUCACAGCAGAAAAUGCAAAGUUAUUCAGUGCUUCUCAUUUCCCACCUCAGUCACUUCAUAUCUUUACAAGUUUAGGAUUGUUUUGCUUCCUUCCCUUCUUUAUCAUACCUUUCUCCAUUAACAAUACUUUGCAUACUGCAGUUCUGGGCCCCACUGAUGUGCUAUCUGCAAGAAUAUGCAAUUAGGUGACCUUUUGCUCCCUUUUUUUGGUAGUAAGAUAUCUGUCUUAUGAUGAUUUUUGUCUACUGACACUGCAAGCAUCCAUGUUUAAAAGCUAUAUCUUUUGUAACAAUAAGAAGAAAUAACUGAAAUCAGAUUCAAAAUGAGGACAUGUUAGAUACAGCUGGGUCUCUUACAUUCCUUACGAGUUUUAUCUCUCUUUACCGUGGCUCAAGAGAUUUUGCUUCACUAUGAUUCUUCAUUAUGGUUCUGUAAAUCAAAAUUAUUUAAACUUCCAGUUGGAAAAAUAAAUAAAGAAGGAAGAAAUUACCUAAAAUGAGAAUUCAUCUCUUUUUCCAGAAGAUUGUUUUAUAUACAACUCCCAGCGAUUCGUCACUGUGCCACAUUGCACUUUCAUGUCUUUAUAGGAUUAUUACUUAACUAUUUUAUUGAAAUUUUUGAUACAGCAUAAAGACAAGACAAGUAAAGCCCAAGGGACAAAGCUUUUGAUUUAUGUAUGCUUCUCUUAUGUGUGACAAUAAACAAACACAAAAAAAGCAAAUAUAUUUCUCCACCAGAUGUAUGAAAGUAAACACAGAGGAAGAAGUUUCAAAGGAGAACAGCAUUAAUGGCAAGUUAAACAUAACCAAACCAUCAAAAGAAACUCUGGUGCAGUAUUUCUUUAACAAGAAUAGUGAAGAACUUGCUACAAGGAAAAAACCACCCAACUUCUUGUCACAGUGAAAUGAUGACAGAGCCUGCAGAGCAUGCUAAAAGGAGCAAACUAAACAUGGUAAUUAGACUUUUUGCUUGUCAGUGCAGCCUCUGAAGACUUAAGCAGGCUGAGCUAAAAUAUCAAACAAGAGGAGAAAUUGCCUGCAACAGCCAUAAUGGUGGAAUGACAUUGGAAUAUGUUCAGGAUUUAAGUUUUUGUGGAUUUUUUUCCUGUUUUUUACCACAGUCCAAAGAGUUUACCUCUGACCCCCUGGUGCCAUUGCCAGUAUUUUGGGACUUUCUGGCUCUGUGAAGUGUCAUUGUGAGGUUUGCUCUCCAGGAGUGGUGCCCACGAGCACAGCUCCCCAUGCUGGGGAUUGCCAUGUGAAAAUGUCAUCAUGCCACUGCUGCUUCCAACUGGUGACCAGAGCAAACAGCUCAUUGCACACCUUUAAACAAGAGGACUGUGUUUCACUACCAGCAGGCCAGCCAUCUGGAAUUCUGCUCAGCUUUGUGUUCCACUGGAACAAUUCCCAUGGCAUGGUCAGAGAGGUGACACCAAGUUUCUCAGUCAUUCCAGUUUAAUGACCAAAUCAAGGAGCCAUUGUAACUUGCACCAACAUGCCCAAACUGGAUCUUGAAAGUUCAUUUAUUCUGAGAGUCACUUCCCACUUUCUGGUCAUGGUGAUUAUGUCACAGAGGCAGCUGCCCUCUGGUUGGAGAGUGAAUCCCAAAGUGUCCAGUGGCAGCAUAGAUGUUCACCCUGGGCCACACACAGGUGUCCUGUGUACAGAGCCCUUCAGCUGCUUGGAAUGAGCUCUGGUAGAAGUAAUUUGUGCCACAAACUGCAAGAAUGAUGAAAACAUCUCUUCAAUUUACCAGGUUCCUUACUGCCAAGAGGAUUUAUUAUGUCAAUGACUCACUCUGCACUCUGGCACAUCACUGUGAGCAGCUGAUGUUUCUGCAGCAGCCUCAGAACUAUGACAGAGUGACUCCCACAGUGCUGAAACCUUGGGUCCAAGUGAUUUGGCCACAGAGGGGUACUCGUGCUCCUCCUCUAUAUUUGCUGAGAAUUUAGUGAAGAACUUGGACAAGCAGAUGAAAAUAAGAAGUGUUAACAUUAAGAGGUUUUGCUGCUGUGGUACUGGUCAUAGAAAUCCUGAGAUUAGUCCUCAGACUACAGACUAUUUUACUCUUUAGAAAAUGAAAGUAAGUAUGAAUAAAUGUAGCAAUCCAUCAAAGCAUAGUUAAGUAUAAACUAAAGGCCACAGUUAUAGCAGAGUGAAUUGUUUUUUCUGUCUCAUCACAUCUGUCACACUCAAGAAGUUCACAAAUUCUGAAAAAGUCUCCUCAUUUAAAAUAGACUAUCUCCUAUACACUGAGACAUUGUUUUUAAGUACAGAGGUUACAUGGGAACUGCUGUACAUCUAUAAUGAAGAAAAAAUAUAUAUCACAUUUCAAAAUAAUGACUUUUGGAAUUAGCCAAAUCUGAAAAUUUAAAUAAAAGGUGUUUAUACAAGAUCAAGGUAUGUGGUCAUGCCCCCAGCUGCUUUUCUUGGGGAUUACAGUAAUACACCAGUCAGGUCUGUUUCUACAAAUUUGCAUCUGCUGCUUCUGAUUUGUUCUGCCUUGAUAUAAUCAAUCUGAAUUCAUGGUCUCACCCUGUGCUGCCACCGAGAUGACUCGUGGAAACAGAGCAAAAUGCAACAGAUCCUGCCCCAGUGCUAAUGGCUGUGACAUGGUGUCUCCACUACAAGGAUGAUGAGACACUGGAACAGAUUGACAAAAGAAGUUGUGGCUGCUCCAUCCCUGGAAGUAUCCAAGGCCACAUUGGAUGGAGCUUUGAUCAGCCUAGUCUAGUGGUCCCAUGGCAGGGAGAUUUGGCUGCAGUGCUGCUGUCAAUUCGAAGAUUGUGGAAAGGGAAGGAGGAAAGACGGACAUGAAGGUGGAAAGAAAAUUUCCUCAUAUGAGCCUCCUUUCCAAAGGAAACCACUGAAAGUAAGAAAGGAUCACAGGGGGCCAUAACAGUGCUACAUUUCAAAAUGAUCCGUUCACAAAGAAAAGAGAAAAAAGGUGCAGCCUUUACGCCUCCUGUUGCAUGAACUCUUCUUCUCACCUUGGAUUUGCUGUCCAGCACAGUUCGUGUCACACCUCUCAAGGACAGGCACAAAGGACACAGAGCAACUGUGCUUUGGAAUAACUAUCAGAACACCAGGGGUUAAUGAUGCCUAGAGCCUCCUGCCUUGCUGCUCCCUAAGUCUGUGCAUUUCUUAUGCAGAGCUGAUUUGCAGCUGCACUGCUAAGUUUUAUCCUGGGAAAAAGCCUCAAAAAUAUGUUUCUGCUACAGCAAUUCUGCCCUUUGUAAUUGGGGAGGAAAAUGCCUCUGAUAUAUGCCAUAGAGCUCUAUGGUGCUGCAUUCUGAAAUGUACUUCAUUGCAUCCCAUGAAAGCUGGAACUUCAAAACCCAUUGAUUAAAAUGAGAGCAUUACUGUACUCUGCUAAUUAGGAUAUAGUACUUAACACUAUUCUUAGUUUGAACUGUGCACAGUAAGUACACUUCUAUUAAUAGUUUUUUGGGGGUAG